GUAGCAUAAGAAAUUACUUGUGUAUAUAUGUGGGAACUUGGAGCAAACUCUCCUCUCAGGGAAUGGCUCCUCAUACCUUAUCAGAUCCCCCAUAUUAGUUACUUAUUUUAACCACUGGACUUCAAAACUCAACAGUUUGAUAGACACUUUGAGAUCUUAGACCCUAUCAGGGCUGCACUCUUAUCUUUGGCAGGCAUUGGAGCUUUGGAGCUUCCCCAUCAACACCCAACCUGCCCUCUUGCAUCAGGUGGACCUCUGAUGUGGUGAUCAAGCCAGUUUAUCCUGAGAACUACUUGUAUAAAUGCACACCUCAAACUUUAAU
rnacentral:lncRNA from 1 species